GAUGAAGAACGUAGCGAAACGCGAUAUGUAAUGUGAAUUGCAGAAUUCAGUGAAUCAUCGAAUCUUUGAACGCACAUGGCGCCUUCCGGUAUCCUGGGAGGCAUGCCUGUCCGAGCGUCGUUUCAACCCUCGAGCCCCCGUGGCCCGGCGUUGGGGAUCUGCCACGGCAGGCCCCUAAAACCAGUGGCGGACCCGAAGGCCCUCUCCUUUGCGCAGUAGCAUCAGCCUCGCAUUGGGAUCCCUCGGCGUCCUGCCUCUAAACCCCCCACAAGUCCGCUCCGGCGGCACCAAGGUUGACCUCGGAUCAGGUAGGAAUACCCGCUGAACUUAAGCAUAUCAAUAAGCGGAGGA
rnacentral:misc_RNA from 1 species